GUAGAAUCCGCUAUCAUUGGCUCUGGGACGUGUGACGUGACGGGACGUGUUGUCUUCUUGGAAGCUAGCCAGUUACUACAGGCGGCAAUUUGAGAAGCAGUGUGAAGAAGAUUGUACGUCAACGUCGUUCGUUAGCGUUAACAUGGGUGGCGAGACGGAAGACGAAGAUGACAGUGUGUUCACAAAGACGGACAGGCCAGUAAAAAGAAAAUUAAACGUUCGACAUACUUUAAUAAUGACUGGUUGAAAAAUGACAAUUACUCCACAACACCAGGCGACCCACUUUAUGCUACCUGCUCCGUAUGCUCAGUUAAAAUUCUGGUUAAACAUGAAGGCAAAACUGCUUUGGAUGACCAUGCUAAAACAAAGAAACAUCAGAGUCGCGUUCAAGUAACCAGACAAGCCAAGGCAAUUUCAUCAUUCAUGAUUACAAAAAACUCAGAGGACAAGAUUACUGUCGCCGAAUUAACAGCUACCUAUCACGGUGUGCGACAUGGCCAUAGCUACCUGUCAACUGACUGUGGGAACAAGAUCUGCUAAGCACUUCCCCACUGUCAGACAGCCUCUCCCCGUGCUGCACGCACAGGACCCAAUAAGACUGGUGGACAUAUCUUCGUACUGGACCAUGGCCGGUGGACGCAACCCAUGAGAGAUGCCAUUGAUGGACUCCUAGCAAAGAACCAUGGGAAGAAAGACAUGCUGAAGCAGGUGGAUGCUGACUAUGCUGCCCUUGUGCACAGAUCUUGCAGAGACCCCAAUUGUCUCCAUCCAACCGCAAGGCAGCAGAUCUCUCGGUAUGUGAAACACCUUGCCAAGCUAAUAAACACCAGCUCCUCUUUGAACACCAGCCCAGAGAAGCUGUUGGAGACUCAGCAGCUUUGGCAGCGUCUGACAGUCAGUGUACCAGUCACAGCCUUGAAACCUGCUCCUGUAAAUCCACCAGUGGGGAGUCCUUCCCAGGAUGCUCCUCUGACCCAGGCUACACUUGUGACGAUGGUGAAGGAGAUUGUGGAGAGGCAGCUAGCAGCUGCAACAACCACAACAGCCAAAGAAAAACAGGACUUGUCUCAGUUGUGGGCAGCCAAAAUCUCGUUACCUUGGCGACGGCUCCUCUGUCCAUUUUUUUUACCAGUCAGCAGAGGUGAAGUACUGCUCCAAAAAAGUCUUCAUGACCUACGCAGUGGAAGGACACACCAAUCCCCAGAAUGUGCUUUGAGGAUUUUGCAUCAACUGCCUUCUUCCAGCGGGAGCUCGACACCUCAAAACAGAGAGGGGCAGAACAAAAGAGGGUAACAAGAGAGGAAAAAGAGGAAAUCUGUAGAGCUUCAUCCUCCUGGUCGCCUGUGCAGGUCCUGUCAUUUGCCUCGCAAACAAGGCCCCAACAACUCUCACAUCCAUGCCCAUUUCCCUGGAGUCCCAGGAAAGUACAUUUACUGUCCCACCAAGGUUUUGUACAUUAUGAAGAAGAUGGUGUUCUUUCCCGGGAUGAGGACAUUUCAGUUUAGAAGAGGCCCAUCGGGGCAUUUAAGACAGGACCCCUCCGCUGAGGCAAUGACAAUAAAAAACAACCCCUCCCUGCAAGACUAAUCUGCACCUCAACUGGAGGAGGUCGUCAAGGCCAAUGCCCACUCUGAAGUGCUUCUGAGAGGAGAUGAUGUAUCUGACAGGCAGAAGGUGUUAGGCGACUACAUCCUCCAGUUUGGCAAAUACAAAGGCAAGUCCUUUCGUUGGCUGCUGGAGAAUGAUGUUGACUGGUAAGGUUGAACAGGAGGAGAAUGCUGGACAGUUCAACCAAGUCGGCCACAGAAAGGACAGCCUACUGUCUUUUCUUGAGUACUCCAGGAGCUUCAAGGAAGUUGAGGUCCUUCUUGGGUUCCUCUCCGAGAGACCUGCAGCACCUGCUGUGGCAAGAGAUGACAACCUUGUUGGCUUUGGGGCCAAAGCUCAAAACACCUGGGAGCAGAUAUGCAAAAGCAGGGCUGAUGGGUACGCUUCAUUCAUCAUGAUGACAAAGUGUGUCCCUGGCAGUAAACUGCACAAGCUCCAGCAGUACCUGUUGAGGCAGAGCCAGCUGCUGACUACAUCUCCAGCUCCUCCCCCCACUGUUGUUGGCCCCAUUGCCAACAGUCACCUCAACCAUUACCUGUGAUCUUCCAGUGAUGGAGGAGGAUGAGGAUUUGGAGAAGGAAAUGAUGAGCCUGUACCCUUCAAAGUUCCUCACCCAGCUCAGUGAACGACUGUGACUUUGUUGAACCAAAACAGAAUUAUUCUUCCAUAUUUUAGUUUAUCAUUUGGCCGUGUUCUGGCCUGUUCUGAUGCUUGUGUUCUACUAAUAACUGUUCCAAGGACUUAACGUAACAGCAGAGAGGGCACGCAUGCAUUUUGUAGAUUUGUUACCAGGUUGAAAGCUCUACAUUCUGUACAAUCCACCUUUUAUUCUUAGAAACACUGAUUUCUCUCUGAAUAAUGUUUCAUAAUGUUAUUUUGAUUAGCCCCCGUAGUUCCAGUGAAGGUGCCAGUGCCUCCUCAGCUGCUUGCCUUGGCUCUAUCUCUGACUCCACGUCCUCUGUCAGAGCAAGAUACACUUGGCAAAACAGUGCCACAGCCCCGAGAGCCGGUGAAGAGGGAGGAAGAUGUGCUUCACCGCUUCUUUCUGGCCAAGGACCCAGAUGAUGUGCUCCUGUUCAAGCCAUCCAUGCUGAAGGAGUGGAGGAUACACUCUCCUACCGGGAGUGUUUGACCCCAUUUUAAUUGCAGAGCUCAACAUGGCAUCCACGAAAGUGACUGGGCAGGCCAAAUAUCCAGCGUUUCACAUGCCCAGAGACACAGGCGAGAGGUUUGGACUCCAGUAUGUGGAGCCAGGCUGUCGACCUGUUCCACUGGACUAGGAGAAGCACAAUUCCCAGAAUACAGUCCCACCUUUUAGGGAGGAAGAGACAGACCAGCUGUCCACCCAGCAGGUCUCACUACUACUUGUGUUGUUCCACCAUCCUGCUGCCCCUGCGUCCUCCUCAGCACCUACUGAAGAGAACAUUUCUCAGGAGAUGGACAUAGCACGUGUCCUGGUGUCUCUCAGUGCUGAGACCUGUGCCUUCCCACCAACAGAGGAGCUGGUAGAGUCCACUCCAAAAGAGGAAUACGCAUCGUCUGAGAAACAAACAGGUGGAAGAUGUGCUUCACCACUUCUUUUUGACCAAGGAGAUGUGCUCCUGUUCAAGCCAUCCAUGCUAAAAGAGUGGAGGAUACAACGCGUCCACAUCCUGAGGCUGCCUGAGCGACCCAGAAGUGGGGGAAUGGAUGCUCUACAGGAAUGGUGGAACCCUGCAGCUGAACCACGUAAAAGGGGAAGGAGCUGCUGUUCCUAUCUGGAUCUCUGUCAGAGGAACCUCUCAGCAUGAGCACUUUCACCAGGCUCGGUGGUGACAGGCUACAACGUCUCUACCGAGCUAUUCCAGGCCCAGGGGAUGACCGGAGUGGUUCACUGGAACUUCCAGAGGCUGGGUGGACCUGAAGCUGCCUAACGUGGUCCUACCGGAAGGGUUUGACCCAGUUUUAAGAGACAGCCAGAGACAGGGGCGAGAGGUUAGGACUCCAGUAUGUGGAGCCAGGCUGUUCCACUGGACUGGGAGAAGCACAAUUCCCAGAAGACAGUCCCACGUCUUAGGGAGGAAGAGACAGACCAGCCCUCCACCCAGCAGGUCUCACUACUACCUGUGGUGUUCCACCAUCCUGCUGCCCCUGCGUCCUCCUCAGCACCUACUGAAGAGAACAUCUCUCAAGAGAUGGAAGUAGCACGUGUCCUGAUGUCUCUCAGUGCGGAGACCUGUGCCUUCCCACCAACAGAGGAGCUGGUGGAGCCCUCACAGUGGUUUGCCACUCCAAAAGAAGAAUGCAGAUCGUCUGAGAGACAAACAGGUCACAGCAUUAAAGAAGUCUUUAAGAAGUGAUGGGCACCAUGUUGUUGGGGCUGAGGAUCUCAAUCCAAUAACCAUCCGGAUCCUGAAUAAAGGCUAGGCCUUUCAUUUUACCUGCAGGAUAGAAAAAUUGACAGAGAUCAAGGC